CACGUAGGGCGCAAGCGUUGUCCGGAAUUAUUGGGCGUAAAGAGCUCGUAGGCGGUCUGUUGCGUCCGCUGUGAAAACUCGGGGCUUAACCCCGAGCCUGCAGUGGAUACGGGCAGACUAGAGGUAGGUAGGGGAGAAUGGAAUUCCCGGUGUAGCGGUGAAAUGCGCAGAUAUCGGGAAGAACACCCGUGGCGAAGGCGGUUCUCUGGGCCUGUACUGACGCUGAGGAGCGAAAGCGUGGGGAGCGAACAGG
rnacentral:rRNA from 1 species